CACCCUAUGUUAUCAUUACCUUUGUUGCUUUGGCGGGCCGCCAGGCUUCGGUCAGGCUAUCGGCUUCGGCUGGUACGCGCCCGCCAGAGGACCCUAACAUCCUGAUUAUCAGUGUCGUCUGAGUACUAUAUAAUAGUUAAAACUUUCAACAACGGAUCUCUUGGUUCUGGCAUCGAUGAAGAACGCAGCGAAAUGCGAUAAGUAAUGUGAAUUGCAGAAUUCAGUGAAUCAUCGAAUCUUUGAACGCACAUUGCGCCCCUUGGUAUUCCGGGGGGCAUGCCUGUUCGAGCGUCAUUACAACCCUCAAGCAUUGCUUGGUCUUGGGCUCCGCUGCUCACCCAGCGGGCCUUAAAAUCAGUGGCGGUGCCGUCGGGCCCUGAGCGUAGUACAUCUCCUCGCUACAGGGACCCGGUGGACGCUGGCCACUACUCCUCGUUUUCUCUAGUUUGACCUCGGAUCAGGUAGGGAUCUCCGCUGAACUCAAGCAUAUCAAUAAGCGGGAGGAACUUUAGGGACAAUUGCUUAAUUUCUGACCUCGAAUCAGGUGGGACUACCCGCUGAACUUAAGCAUAUCAAUAAGCGGAGGAA
rnacentral:rRNA from 1 species